GGUUUUAUAGUUUAGUGGUUAGAAUACUUUAAAAAAGGGAGACCUAGGUUUAAUUCCUAGUAGGAGCG